CGCCAGACUCCUACGGGAGGCAGCAGUGGGGAAUAUUGCACAAUGGGGGAAACCCUGAUGCAGCAACGCCGCGUGAGUGAAGAAGUAUUUCGGUAUGUAAAGCUCUAUCAGCAGGGAAGAAAAUGACAGUACCUGACUAAGAAGCCCCGGCUAACUACGUGCCAGCAGCCGCGGUAAUACGUAGGGGGCAAGCGUUAUCCGGAUUUACUGGGUGUAAAGGGAGCGUAGACGGCUGCGCAAGUCAGAAGUGAAAGCCCGGGGCUCAACCGCGGGACUGCUCUUGGAACUGCGCGGCUGGAGUGCAGGAGGGGCAGGCGGAAUUCCUGGUGUAGCGGUGAAAUGCGUAGAUAUCAGGAGGAACACCGGUGGCGAAGGCGGCCUGCUGGACUGCGACUGACGUUGAGGCCCGAAAGCGUGGGGAGCAAACAGGAUUAGAUACCCGAGUAA
rnacentral:rRNA from 1 species